AGGUUCUUCUGUGAUAUGUUUUCAUGGUGUGGGAAUAAGACUUGGUGGUCUAAUACAGCUAAUACGAAGGUUAGCAUCACAGCUUGUCUGUAAAGAUUGAAGCUGGGAGUGGGCAUUGGAGCUGACUUUUAUGGUAACUGUGGCUGCAUAAAAGGGCUAUGUGAUUUUACUGUAACAGUAAAGAAUGUAAUUCAGACUAUUUUUGUGUAUGUUUGAGAAAAUGUUUAUAAUUUUUACAAAAAGAAAAAAAAAAUUAUGUACUGGUUCUCCAUUUUCAACAAGAUUGGAAGUUGUAGGUUAAUAGGUCUUUGCAAUUUCAAAAAUUACUUUCUAUUUUCUGUUCAUACUCAUGUCUAGGCAAAACACUUCCAGUAGUUUAAGAAUGGAGAAUCUAAAAAAAAGAAAAGAAAAAAAAGAAAAAAAAAGAAAAAAAAAGAAAAAGAAAAAAAUGUUCAAUUAUUGAAAUGUUUUUUAUUUUUGCAAAUUGUAAUAUAUUUUUUCACCUUUGUGUCAUUUUUAGCUGAGUUUAUAACGAAGGGUAUAUUAUUUUAAGAAUAUUUUACAAGAAGCAUAGUUGAAGAAUAUCUUGAUGAAAGUAGAUUGAUUGAUUUUUGGUAUUUAACACCACUUUCAGCAUGAUUUGCUAUAUCUUGACUGCCAGUUUUUAUUUGUGGAGACAGCCUGGUGAAAACAUCCCCUUCAACAGAGAAACUGGCAACUAUUGACGUUAAACACACCUACAAUGUGAGUGUUCAGAGUGUUGACAGGCUAGUGAUAUAGUAGUUGAACUACUUUGACCAUUCAGCCACCAUUACUACAUCCGCACUAAAUAUGUUAUUGAAAUGUGUUGAAAUUUUGUAAUUUAUUUUUUUAUUUUGAUAAACGGUAUACUAUUUAUGUUUUUUUGUUAUAUAUAACAAAGAUGUGGAGUUCUAACAGGGUGAAAUUUAGGUCAAAGGGAGGUAAUUUAUUAUACUGUGUUUAACUUCAAAUACUUGAAAUUCCCUCAAUGUUAGAUUUUUAUUUACUUGGAUACUCACAUUUAUGCACUUUUUUACAUAUCAGAUGUUUUCUAGAUAAUACAAAUUUA